rnacentral:rRNA from 1 species
UACGGAGGGGGCUAGCGUUGUUCGGAAUUACUGGGCGUAAAGCGCACGUAGGCUGCUUUGUAAGUUAGAGGUGAAAGCCCGGGGCUCAACUCCGGAAUUGCCUUUAAGACUGCAUCGCUAGAAUUGUGGAGAGGUAAGUGGAAUUCCGAGUGUAGAGGUGAAAUUCGUAGAUAUUCGGAAGAACACCAGUGGCGAAGGCGACUUACUGGACACAUAUUGACGCUGAGGUGCGAAAGCGUGGGGAGCAAACAGG